rnacentral:misc_RNA from 1 species
GAGAUUCAAACUCUCGCGGGGAAACCCCAUAUACUUAGCAGGCACACGCCUUAACCACUCGGCCAAAGCGACUUCCACUUUUCCUGUUCUAAGCAUCUUCACCAUUAUAAAAUGAUCUAAUCCUAUUCCCAUGCCAUCCAAUGAAGCAAGUUCGCUAGAUAAGAAAUUGGAAAAGAGUUCAGAACACUUCCCUCUCGAAUCUAGCAAUUUUUUUUACUCCUGUCUUCCUUGGCUGAUAAUAUGUGAUAAAUAUCAUGGACUUAACCCCAUCUCAUUCCACAGUUCACACUAAUGCAUAAUUUCAAAAUACGCAACCCCAUUGUGCUAAAUUAACUGUUUUAGACAUUCAGCUUAGCUAUAUAUAAGCUGCAGCAUUAGCAAAAGAAAAUCGACAUCACCACGACCGGG